rnacentral:rRNA from 1 species
AUUGAACGCUGGCGGCAGGCCUAACACAUGCAAGUCGAGCGGGGGUAGCAAUACCCUAGCGGCGAACGGGUGAGGAAUGCUUGGGAAUCUGCCUGGUAGUGGGGGGAUAACGUUCCGAAAGGAACGCUAAUACCGCAUACGUCCUACGGGAGAAAGGGGGGGAUCUUCGGACCUCUCGCUAUCAGAUGAGCCCAAGCCGGAUUAGCUAGUUGGUGGGGUAAAGGCCCACCAAGGCGACGAUCCGUAGCUGGUCUGAGAGGAUGAUCAGCCACACUGGAACUGAGACACGGUCCAGACUCCUACGGGAGGCAGCAGUGGGGAAUAUUGGACAAUGGGCGAAAGCCUGAUCCAGCCAUGCCGCGUGUGUGAAGAAGG